AACAUUUUUCUCCUCUAGGUCAUUUAUUCUAAUCUAAUUCAGGGAUGUGGAUAACGACUAUAAGUUAAACUGUGCUUUGUGUUAGCUCUGUGGUAGAUUAUUUUAAAUAAAUUAAUGGUCCAAUUCAUACACAGUCAACUGUAAAAAGGCUUUUGAAAACUUUUAAAUUUCAUUUGUAAACCAACUUGAGUUGGAUAGAUCAAGCUGAGCAGGUGGAAAAAAAUUUGUAGACUGAAACCAUCAGAUUUUACAUGUAUUUUUACAGAAACACAGGGGCUUGUGCUGGGACCAAAUUGUGUUCAGACUUUCCUGGCAUCUCUGCUGCAGAGGGAGUCAGUGGCACAGGCAUGGGAUGAGGCCAAAGUUAUAUUUAAUUUCUUUAGAUGACACUAACAAGUUUCAUCCAAAUCCUCUGACUCUGCAAGCCCAGAACUAUGUGCACCUAUCAAAGGGAGUGCUGUUGUUUAGAAACCACGCCACACAAAUCAAAAUGUCCAGAGAAAGGGAUUCUUUUCCAAUUCAGACACCAGCUCUUUGGGGUUCUGCACUGAAUGCACGCACUGGAGGAAUCCCAGAGCAGACAGACUCCUGGGGCACCAAGAAAGCUCCACCUAGAGCUACCAGCUAACCUCUGGAAAAACUAAGGGCACAGCUGCAGGGAGGGAGUUCCUCAGCAUUCCCAGUGUGCUGGCAGGGCUCUGCAGCUUUCCAUUCCAGAGCCAGUGCACCCCAAACCCCUUCAUGACAUCUGUGCCCCCUUUUCCUGACUGCUGUUUCUAGAUAAUUCUUUUUUUUUUUUUUUUUUUUUUUUUUAAACUCCAUGGAUUUCUGCAUCAACGCUUGGGGGACUCUGCUUCUGCUGAAAUGUUCCAUUUAUCCUUAUGAUUUUUUUUUCCUCUUAGGCAAAGAGGCUGGCAAUGCUUUGCCCUAUGACAACACUUGAUUAUUUUAGGAGCUUCUUCUACUACAGAGAAGCUGUGCUAAAGGGUUUUUUUUUGUUUUUGUUGUUUUUCUUUAUCAAAUACACCCUUUUUUUUUUAAUUCUCACUUACUCUAUCAAAAUUCUAAUAGAUUGACAAUCUUCCUGUAUUACUUUCCUAGCCAGAUGCCAGCUACCUUGGUCCUAAAACCCCUAAAUUACAAAUGUAUGUCCUAUACUGAGUUUUCUCACUGGUCUCUGAUUUACAAUGGUUGCUAGUACAUUUUUGAGUGACAAACACAACUCCUGACAUUUUUUUGGUUACUAGCUCUUGUUAGAAACCAAAAAAUAAAGAAACACAUAAUUCCCUUACUCCUUUCUAU
rnacentral:lncRNA from 1 species